UACGUAGGGUCCGAGCGUUGUCCGGAAUUAUUGGGCGUAAAGGGCUCGUAGGCGGUUCGUCACGUCGGGAGUGAAAACUCGGAGCUUAACUCCGAGCCUGCUUCCGAUACGGGCAGACUAGAGGUAGGCAGGGGAGAGCGGAACUCCUGGUGUAGCGGUGGAAUGCGCAGAUAUCAGGAAGAACACCGGUGGCGAAGGCGGGACUCUGGGCCGAUACUGACGCUGAGGAGCGAAAGCGUGGGGAGCAAACAGG
rnacentral:rRNA from 1 species